UCUGUGGUUGAAUAAGGAGGCAUGGUCAUUUAUUAUGUUUUGGAUUCUUACAAAGUUACAAUAAGAGUAAAAAGGAAGAGGGCACACUAUGCAUAACACUUAUUAGCGCAUACGCUGUAAAGCACUCUGAAGACAACGCCGAAACACGUAAAUGCAAAUAAGGUCAGUGUUAUGCAACGUGUGUGGCCACCUUUUGUUAGUUAUUUAAGCGUUACCCAAUGGCCCUGCACUAUUAGCAUAAUAGGGGAUUAUCACGCUUCCUGGUUCCGGUGGCGGGAUUUGUCUUCGUUGUGCAUGAACACUUCCGGCGCACUUCAACAAUGGCUGAAACAAAGGCUAGAUGUCACUGCUCUGUUCCACUUUGUACAUCUAACAAACAACACCAACCCUACUUAAGUUUUCAUGGAUUCCCGACUGAAUUGAGUCUAAGGAAGAAGUGGAUUCAAGCGGUUCGCCGGGAUGAAGGGCCAAACUUUAAAAUAAAACAAGGUAGCACGUUUGUUUGUAGCCGGCACUUUAGUGAAUCAGACUACAAACGCUACAGCUAGCAACCAACCAGGGUCACAAUAAGCGACUGAAAAUCGGGUCUGUACCCUCCCGUUUCCAGUGGAACAACUGGGGACUGCCAAGAAGGGGGUCUGUUUAUAAAAGAGCAUCAACUCGCUUAGGCCAUGACGUUCACCCAGCCCUUCCUCUGGAGCAACCGCUGCCCUGUGAAUAAUAAUAAUACCCCAUACUGUUCUUAAACCACCUACCUGACAGGAUGUGCUACCUAUGGUUUAAUCACAGAAUGGGCUCUUAGUAGGUUAUACUGAGGAGGUAGGUCAACUUUUCAGUACUCGGGCACAAAAUGUUUAGUCUUAUUAAUGUCCCAGCAUUUGACCAAACCACAAUGUGAAAAGCUUCAUAACAAGUACAAAUGUUGCAUUUUAUAUCUUACUUAAUUAAUUGUAAAGGUGAAUAUUGAGCUAUAAAAAGCACAUUUUAAAAGCAAUAUUGAGCUACAAAAAGCAAUUUCUUUAGAGGUCCAAACUGCUUCCAAUAUGCAAGUCACAGCCAAAAUCUGGGUUAGAUGUUUUAAUCUUUAUUCCUCAUCUCAUACAGCUGCACUGGAUGCUGCUGCUGUACACAUACAGCAAUUGGAAGAAACAGUCAAGGAGCUGAUGAGAGCCGUCACAGCUGAAAGUGGUUCAAGUGCCUUUUCACAGAUUUUGUGUCUCAGACGAGGACAUCCUUUUUUACACCAGAUUCACGUCAAGAUAUGUUUUUUGUGACUUCUGGGAGGUUAUUCAACCAUCUGCCUCCAUGUUGGUUUAUUGGUCGAAAGCUCAGAAAAAGAAACAAACAUUUUUUGAACCCAUUUCUCCCAGUCCAACGUGUAGUCUGCAACUGGUUGAGUUUUUUUCUCUUCUGCUGCCGGGUUGCUGCAGGCCUGCAAGAGAAGGUGCUGGCUGACAUGUUUCAGGUCAGUGUGUCCACUGUCUCCCAUGUUGUUAUACCGUGGGCCAACUACCGUUACCUGCUCCUUGGCUCCCUCCCCUGCUCCUUGGCUCCCUCCCCAUCUGGAUGAGUAAACAGCAAGUCAAGAACACCAUGCCAAGCAAAUUUGUGCAGUACAGUCCAGAUGUUCGGGUAAUCAUCGACUGCACCGAGGUGCAGUCGAUGAUUACCCGAACAUCAUCUUACAAGAACACAACAACCUUUAAGGCCUUGAUUGGGAUUGCCCCUUGUAGUGCUGUGACUUUUGUGUCAAGUCUCUUCACCGGCUCCAUCUCCGACCCAGAGCUGACUAAACGAAGUGGACUUCUGGAUUUACUGGAGCUAGGAGAUGGCUGCAUGGCAGACAAGGGUUUCACCAUCGAGAAGCCACUAGCUGAUCGUGGGGCAACGUUGAUUGUACCACCCUUCAAGAUGACAGUUCACUGAAGAGGAUGCUCUGAAAACACAAGCAAUCGCUCGACUUCGAAUCCUCGUAGAAAGAGCAAUAGGCAGAGUCAAGGAAUAACGCAUCUGGGAACGCACUGUCCUCUCACCUUGUCUGUGACAGUCAAUCAGCUGUGGACCGUCUGCUGUGUGAUGACCAACUUCCAGGGACCACUUGAUUUAAAAGGCUACAUCCCUGUUGAAUAGUGUUUCUACUCAAACAUGUACCUAUAAAUAUUUAAUAUAAUAUGUAAAUAUUAAAACAAGAGGCAGUGGCACUGAACAUUUGGAGUGCUCCCUUCAUUUUUUCCGGAGCUGUAAUUUUGCACACUGAAAACAUAUUGAAUGACAUGUAUUUAAUUGAAUGAGAAGUCUUUCAUCUAUAAUCAAUUUUAAAGUCCAGUCAGUCCAUCCUGAAAGUAUUCAAAAUAAUGUUAAUAUAUAAUGUAGUAAAUGAUGUACUCAGAAAAAGGGAAUGAAUUAAAUCCUUUUAUUCUUUCA